UACGUAGGGUGCAAGCGUUGCCCGGAUUUAUUGGGCGUAAAGGGCGCGUAGGCGGCUCUGCACGUCCGUUGUGAAAUCGCCCGGCUCAACUGGGCGGGGUCAGCGGAUACGGCAGAGCUUGAGCAAGCUAGGGGGCAAUGGAAUUCCCGGUGUAGUGGUGGAAUGCGCAGAUAUCAGGAGGAACACCAGCGGCGAAGGCGGCGCUCUGGGCCGGUACUGACGCUGAGGAGCGAAAGCGUGGGUAGCAAACAGG
rnacentral:rRNA from 1 species